AUUGAACGCUGGCGGCAUGCCUAACACAUGCAAGUCGAACGGUAACGCUGGGCAACCUGGCGACGAGUGGCGAACGGGUGAGUAAUGCAUCGGAACGUGCCUGGUAGUGGGGGAUAACUGCUCGAAAGAGCAGCUAAUACCACAUACGACCUGAGGGUGAAAGGGGGGGAUCGCAAGAGCUCUCGCUAUAAGAGCGGCCGAUGUCGGAUUAGCUAGUUGGUGGGGUAAAGGCCAACCAAGUCGCCGAUCCGUAGCUGGUCUGAGAGGACGACCAGCCAAACAGGGACUGAGACACGGCCCAGAUUCCUACGGGGGGCAGCAGUGGGUAAUUUUGGACAAUGGACGCAAGUCUGAUCCAGCCAUGCCGCGUGCGGGAAGAAGGCCUUCGGGUUGUAAACCGCUUUUGUCAGGGAAGAAAUCUUCUGGGUUAAUACCUCGGGAGGAUGACGGUACCCGAAGAAUAAGCACCGGCUAACUACGUGCCAGCCGCCGCAGUAACAC
rnacentral:rRNA from 1 species